rnacentral:rRNA from 1 species
UACGUAGGUGGCAAGCGUUGUCCGGAAUUACUGGGUGUAAAGCGCGUGUAGGCGGGAGGCCAAGUCUGCUGUGAAAUCGCUCGGCUCAACUGGGCGGGGUCGGUGGAAACUGGUCACCUGGAGGACGGUAGAGGCGAGUGGAAUUCCCGGUGUAGUGGUGAAAUGCGUAGAGAUCGGGAGGAACACCAGUGGCGAAGGCGGCAUCCUGGACCGGUAUUGACGCUGAGGCGCGAAAGCCAGGGGAGCAAACGGG